rnacentral:rRNA from 1 species
AUUGAACGCUGGCGGCAGGCCUAACACAUGCAAGUCGAGCGGAUGACGGGAGCUUGCUCCUUGAUUCAGCGGCGGACGGGUGAGUAAUACCUAGGAAUCUGCCUGAUAGUGGGGGACAACGUUUCGAAAGGAACGCUAAUACCGCAUACGUCCUACGGGAGAAAGCAGGGGACCUUCGGGCCUUGCGCUAUCAGAUGAGCCUAGGUCGGAUUAUCUAGUUGGUGAGGUAAUGGCUCAACAAGGCGACGAUCCGUAACUGGUCUGAGAGGAUGAUCAGUCACACUGGAACUGAGACACGGUCCAGACUCCUACGGGAGGCAGCAGUGGGGAAUAUUGGACAAUGGGCGAAAGCCUGAUCCAGCCAUGCCGCGUGUGUGAAGAAGGUCUUCGGACUGUAAAGCACUUUAAGUUGGGAGGAAGGGCAGUAAGCUAAUACCUUGCUGUUUUGACGUUACCGACAGAAUAAGCACCGGCUAACUCUGUGCCAGCCGCCGCCGUAACAC